rnacentral:rRNA from 1 species
UGUUUCGGCAAGGGGGUCAUCCCGACUUACCAACCCGAUGCAAACUGCGAAUACCGGAGAAUGUUAUCACGGGAGACACACGGCGGGUGCUAACGUCCGUCGUGAAGAGGGAAACAACCCAGACCGCCAGCUAAGGUCCCAAAGUCAUGGUUAAGUGGGAAACGAUGUGGGAAGGCCCAGACAGCCAGGAUGUUGGCUUAGAAGCAGCCAUCAUUUAAAGAAAGCGUAAUAGCUCACUGGUCGAGUCGGCCUGCGCGGAAGAUGUAACGGGGCUAAACCAUGCACCGAAGCUGCGGCAGCGACGCUUAUGCGUUGUUGGGUAGGGGAGCGUUCUGUAAGCCUGUGAAGGUGUGCUGUGAGGCAUGCUGGAGGUAUCAGAAGUGCGAAUGCUGACAUAAGUAACGAUAAAGCGGGUGAAAAGCCCGCUCGCCGGAAGACCAAGGGUUCCUGUCCAACGUUAAUCGGGGCAGGGUGAGUCGACCCCUAAGGCGAGGCCGAAAGGCGUAGUCGAUGGGAAACAGGUUAAUAUUCCUGUACUUGGUGUUACUGCGAAGGGGGGACGGAGAAGGCUAUGUUGGCCGGGCGACGGUUGUCCCGGUUUAAGCGUGUAGGCUGGUUUUCCAGGCAAAUCCGGAAAAUCAAGGCUGAGGCGUGAUGACGAGGCACUACGGUGCUGAAGCAACAAAUGCCCUGCUUCCAGGAAAAGC